GUCUAACAGAAGUCAAGAAAAAUCUGUGUACAGUUCCAGUUCCAAGAGAAUACGUGUUGACUCACCUUCAGACACAGGUCUUGGUGCUGGUAGUGAAGCAUGAUAUUCAUCUUGGACCAACAGUUUCCUAUAGGAUUAGAAUAACUCUUCUCAGUUGGUUCUCAGCAAGUUCCAAAGAGGCCUUCUGGUAUACACAAGUGAAAAUAGAUAACAUUUGGCAGCAGUUUUUGGUUCUUAAUUAUAACAGCAAUGCAAUAGAUAGCUGGACCUUUUCGGUUUUUAGUCAUAUUUUCCAGGACGCUGGAAAACACGUCCUUGGAAACCUUUGCUUUGCAUUCUAAAAGAGGGGGAAAAAACACUAUAUAUGUACUAAAUUCGUUUCUCCUUUACUUGAGACAGGAG
rnacentral:misc_RNA from 1 species